AACUCUCAACCCCUCGGGUUUUCUAAUCUGUUGGGUUGGAUUUGGGCGCUGCCGCUUCAUUGCCGGCUCGCCUUAAAGGUCUUAGUGGGAAUAGUCGGACCCAUAGCUUGGCGUAAUAAGUUUCGCUGGGCUCGUGGCUGACGAACGCCUGCUCAUAACAAACCAUAUUCUUUCG
rnacentral:misc_RNA from 2 species